AUGCCUUAUAAACUUCAUGCCUCAAACUUGCUGUCCAAAUUUGCCUUGAUCCAAAUCCUUGCACAAUUUUGCACCAAAACUCUUAUGUCCUUAUCCAAGUUUUGCUGCACAAUAGUCAUGCUGCUGCCCCUGCUGCAAUGCUGUCAAAAGACUGCACAUUUGCUGUCACAAAUAGUCCAAACAAUAAGUUCCAAAACCUGCAUGAUACUACAACAACAACUGUCCAAGAAUUACACUAACUUAGCAAAGCAAAAACCUGCGCUAGAAAGCAUUACAACAGAGCACUCUAACUAUUCAAAUGGAUCAAAAUCUCCCCUCUAA